GCCAUAUGCAUGGAUAUAGAAAUGCGCCUUUAUGUGCAUCGUGCAGUGCAGAUUGAUUGAUGUUGGCGGCUAGAACUGGCCGGGACACAGACCAUGCAAGCACAGAAACUACGUAUCCAAGUCUCAUUACUAAAAACACCUAAAAAACGUAUCCAGGCCUGCGAAGGGUGUCGAAGGUGUGUCGUGCUUUCUGUGGAUAUGGAAUCAAUGGAAGCGCUUAAAGUAAGGAUAUAUCUGUUAGAAUCUCUAGAGUAGAUCUAGCCGGUAAAACUGUUCUCUGUGGAUCAUCUUGAGGUUCGGGUAUGGGAUUGGGAGAGAGAGGAGCGGAAGAGGGAUGUGUAUCUUUUUCCUGGCCUAGUUUUGAAAACCGGACCGGUGAUCGAACGGGCGAGGCUCUCGGUUUAGGUUUUUCAGGUCGAACCGCAGAUUCACCCGGUUGAACCGGUGUGGUUUUUUAAGAUAUAAAAUAAUAUAUUUUUAACUAAAUAUUGCAAAAAGAUAAAAAAAAAACAUGCUCCUAAUAUGCUGCCAAAUAUGAAUAAUAGUGCACACAAUAAUUUACUCGUCUCAUUAUUCUCAUACGGAGUACAGAAGUUCCAGGAAAAACAAAAAGUCACACAGCCACAUAGUCAAGAACAGCAGAUAAACUCAAGCAUGGGGCAAGGUAAAAUUUGACUUGCAGGAAUUCAGAACGAGAUUGCUGGAACCACCGUAUUAGAGGUUGGAGUUUCACUUCGGUACCGAUUUAUGUUUUAUUUAUUAAAAAUUAUUGGAUAUAUUUAACUCCUCGCUUGCUAGCGUCUAAACCCAUUUCUGACGCAGCGGAUCCACCGG
rnacentral:lncRNA from 1 species